rnacentral:lncRNA from 10 species
CAGAGAUGAAAAUGAUGCAGCUGAGGCCAUGGAAUCCCUGGAGCCACCAGGAGCUGGAAGAGGCAAGGAAGGAUCCUCCCCUGGAGCCUUUAAAGGGAGCAUGCCUUGGCAACACCUUGAUUUUGGCUUCUGGCUUCCAGAAGCUAGAGAAUAAGUUUCUGUUGCUUUAAACAUCAACAUUACAGUGAUUUGUUAUGGCAGCCCUAGGAAAUUAAUAUACCUAACUGAGUUAGAAACCAGGGUAGUACGCCUAGCAAUGAGUACUUAAACAAAUCCUCCUGGGGAUUCUGCUGUACACUCAAGCUUCGGAUACACUGGUCUAGAGUAAUUGAAUUGUGGCUGGCUGAAGACAUGGGUAUUUUUUCCCCAGGACAGCAGAAGCCUCCCCUGCACCUGCAAAUAGACCAGUGCAGGCAUUGAACAUCUGGGGCAAGACUAGCGUCUCCCAGCAGAACGUAUGACCUGAAACUGGUCCCGAGGAAACAUCAGAUGGACCACGUUGAGCAUCACACUGCAGAAUGUAGGGCUGCAUUCUUCCAAACUGUUGGGACGAUGAAAGUCAGGGAAAGACUGAGGAAAUGCUCCAAACUGGGGCAGACUGCAAAGAUGUGACAAUUAAAUGCAAUGUGUAACUCGGGGUUUCUGCACUUUAGCUCUUUCAAGAUUUUUGACUGGAUAAUUCUUGGGGUCUGUCUUGCACACUGCACGGUGUCUGGCAUCAUCUCUGGUGUCUAAGCCCUAGAUGUCAAUACCAAUUCCCACUUGUGUGAUCAAAUGUCUCCAGACAUUACCAAAUGUACCAUGGGUGGGGUCAGAGGGGAGUGCAAAGUCAGCUCCAGAUGAGAACCAUUGGUGUAACUGGAUGGAAUCCUGGGCCAGAUAUGAAAAAGAGACAUCACUAGGACAGCUGGACAGAUCUGAGGUUAAUGAAGAUUUCUCACUGUUGCAGAAGGUAUUUUUAAGAAGGGAAAGGUAGGAGGGCUAGAAAAACCCUGAACGGGGUGUGGAGAUUGGACAUUGCAUCAAUGUAUUGAUGCACUGGGUUUUGUUUCAGUGCUCAUUUCUUGACUUGUGGGUUUGCAUGGUGGUUAUGCAGGAGGGUGUACUUGGGGAGGCAGAUAUGAUGGAGCACUGAGGGUUGAAGGGACAUCACAUAGAUACAUACAUAGGGAGAUAGAGUGUACGCAGUGAAAUGUGAAUAGCUGGGGAUCAGCAUGAGGGGGUAUGGAAGUUCUUUGUUCUGUUCGUGCAACUUUUCUGUACAUUUAAAAUAACCCCAGAAUAAAAUAUUUCCAUUAAUUUACCUG